rnacentral:rRNA from 1 species
GGCGGCAAGAUAGCCAUUUAGAGGAACCUGCCCUAUAAACGAUGAACCACGAAUACCUUACUUUUUUUUGAGAUCAGUUUGUAUACCGCUGUUGGCAGUUAGUUUCAUUAGAAAACUUUCGUUAAUAAUAUAAUUAUUGACUUCAAGUAAAGGUGCAGCAAAUAAAAAAGACAGAGGUGGGUUACAUUUAAUUGAAUAAAACGGAUAAAGUUAUGAAAUUGCUUUUGAAGGUGGAUUUAAUAGUAAAGUUUAAUAAAACUUGAUGGGAGCUCUGUCUUGUGUACACACCGCCCGUCG